rnacentral:rRNA from 1 species
UACAGAGGGUGCAAGCGUUAAUCGGAUUUACUGGGCGUAAAGCGUGUGUAGGUGGUUGGAAAAGUCGAUUGUGAAAUCCCUGGGCUCAACCCGGGAACUGCUUUCGAAACUGUCUGACUAGAAUUCGGUAGAGGGAGGCGGAACUCCAGGUGUAGCGGUGAAAUGCGUAGAUAUCUGGAAGAACACCAAUGGCGAAGGCAACCUCCUGGGCCUGAAUUGACACUGAGACACGAAAGCGUGGGGAUCAAACAGG